GCCCCGAUAGCUUAACUAAAGCAUUGGUCUUGUAAACCAAAGAUUGAGUGCUAACGCCCUCUCGGGGCU
rnacentral:tRNA from 1 species